rnacentral:rRNA from 1 species
UACGUAGGUGGCAAGCGUUGUCCGGAUUUAUUGGGUUUAAAGGGUGCGUAGGUGGUCUAUUAAGUCAGUGCUGAAAUAUCCCGGCUUAACCGGGAGGGUGGCAUUGAUACUGAUAGACUUGAGUAAAGUUGAGGUAGGCGGAAUUGACGGUGUAGCGGUGAAAUGCUUAGAUAUCGUCAAGAACACCGAUAGUGUAGACAGCUUACUAAGCUUUAACUGACGCUGAGGCACGAAAGUGUGGGGAUCAAACAGG